rnacentral:rRNA from 1 species
GAUGAACGCUGGCGGCGUGCCUAAUACAUGCAAGUCGAGCGAACAGACGAGGAGCUUGCUCCUCUGACGUUAGCGGCGGACGGGUGAGUAACACGUGGAUAACCUACCUAUAAGACUGGGAUAACUUCGGGAAACCGGAGCUAAUACCGGAUAAUAUAUUGAACCGCAUGGUUCAAUAGUGAAAGACGGUUUUGCUGUCACUUAUAGAUGGAUCCGCGCCGCAUUAGCUAGUUGGUAAGGUAACGGCUUACCAAGGCAACGAUGCGUAGCCGACCUGAGAGGGUGAUCGGCCACCCUGGAAGUGAGACAGGGUCCAGACUCCUACGGGAGGCCGCAGUAGGGAAUCUUCCGCAAUGGGCGAAAGCCUGACGGAGCAACGCCGCGUGAGUGAUGAAGGUCUUCGGAUCGUAAAACUCUGUUAUUAGGGAAGAACAAAUGUGUAAGUAACUAUGCACGUCUUGACGGUACCUAAUCAGAAAGCCACGGCUAACUACGUG